UGGUGGAGCGAUUUGUCUGGUCAAUUCCGAAAACGAACGAGACUCUAGCCUACUAAAUAGUUCGGGGACCCCCACAAAGGGGCCCCGCUUCAACUUCUUAGAGGGACAGGUGGCGUUUAGCCACACGAGAUUGAGCAAUAACA
rnacentral:rRNA from 1 species